rnacentral:rRNA from 1 species
GAUGAACGCUGGCGGCGUGCCUAAUACAUGCAAGUCGAACGGAGAGGCGCGUUGCUUGCUGGUCUGAGGUUAGCGGCGGCCAGGGGGGUAGUAAGUCGAUAGCCUACCUAUCCGACUGGGAGAACAACGGGAAGCAGGAGUGAAUACCAGGUGAUAUUUUGGACCGGUUGGAUGAAGGGUGAAAGAAGGUCUUGGUGUCGGUUGGAGAUGGUCCCGCGCCGCAUUAGCUAGUUGGUAGGGUAACGGCCUACCAAGGCGGUGACGGGCAGCCGGCCUGAGAGGGUGGACGGUCACACUGGGACUGAGACACGGCCCAGACUCCUACGGGAGGCAGCAGUGGGGAAUAUUGCACAAUGGGCGCAAGCCUGAUGCAGCGACGCCGCGUGAGGGAUGGAGGCCUUCGGGUUGUGAACCUCUUUCGCCAGUGAAGCAGGCCUGCCUCGUUUGUGGGUGGGUUGACGGUAGCUGGAUAAGAAGCGCCGGCUAACUACGUG